UACGUAGGUGGCGAGCGUUGUCCGGAUUUACUGGGCGUAAAGAGCGCGCAGGCGGUCGUACAAGUCGCGUGUGAAAUCCCUCGGCUCAACCGAGGACGUGCAUCGGAAACUGCGGGGCUUGAGUACUGAAGAGGAUCGCGGAAUUCCCGGUGUAGAGGUGAAAUUCGUAGAUAUCGGGAGGAACACCAGUGGCGAAGGCGGCGAUCUGGGCAGAUACUGACGCUGAGGUGCGAAAGCGUGGGGAGCAAACAGG
rnacentral:rRNA from 1 species